GAUGAACGCUGGCGGCGUGCCUAAUACAUGCAAGUCGAGCGAAUGGAUUAAGAGCUUGCUCUUAUGAAGUUAGCGGCGGACGGGUGAGUAACACGUGGGUAACCUGCCCAUAAGACUGGGAUAACUCCGGGCAACCGGGGCUAAUACCGGAUACCACUUUGAACCGCAUGGUUCGAAAUCGAAAGGCGGAUUCGCCUGUCACUCAUGCAUGGACCCGCGUCGCAUUAGCCAGUUGGUGAGGUAACGGCUCACCAAGGCAACGAUGCGUAGCCGACCUGAGAGGGUGAUCGGCCACACUGGGACUGUGACACGGCCCAGACUCCUACGGGAGGCAGCAGUAGGGAAUCUUCCGCAAUGGACGAAAGUCUGACGGAGCAACGCCGCGUGGGUGAUGAAGGCUUUCGGGUCGUAAAACUCUGUUGUUAGGGAAGAACAAGUGCUAGUUGAAUAAGCUGGCACCUUGACGGUACCUAACCAGAAAGCCACGGCUAACUACGUGCCAGCCGCCGCCGUAA
rnacentral:rRNA from 1 species